rnacentral:lncRNA from 13 species
AUGUCCUCCAUUUUGGCUCUGUACAUUGUCCAUGUGUCCCGGUGCCGUGCCGUUAGUGGACCCCUGCCUCAGGGGCGGGAAACUGAACGCUCCAGUUCUGGGUUCAGACAGAGGAAAGUCUGGUUCUUAUCGUUAUUAUUGCUGUUGUUACUAGUAGUGGUGGUGACUACCGACUCGCUAAAGAUAGUGUCUGAGAAGACAGAGUCUAGGUUGAACAAGGUGCCACCGAAGAGGGAUUCCUGGCAGGUGGAUUUGGGCCGAUCGGUGGCUACCUCUGGGUCUCCUGGGGGGUUUGCUUGGUGGUGGUGGUUGAUUUUCAGUGUCUGGUUCUUCUGUAAUUGUUCUGCUUGUUCUGCUGGCUUAUUGCGGUGAUCUCCUUUGAGACAUGACUGAGUCAUGGUAUUGAAAUUGAAACCUGAAACCUGAAAUGUUGUGCUGGCUACAUCAUGUAGAUGCUCUGUUACAUCAUCAGCAGUGAGUGGACAACUCGGGAAAAAUGACUGGCUCCAUACUGCAGCCUCUCUAAUGUUCAUAUAUAUCACAGUACAAUGUUACCUGAACAAAAACUCUACUACACAUGUGUGUGGAGCCUCAGUCAUGUACCAUUGAAUUGGCAGAAAGUAUUGAGCCUUCGUCAAAAACAAUAGUAUUUUCUGAUUGUUCUUGGUGAAUGUCAGUUUUGUUUGAUAAAUAACAGACAAUAGGACUCAAGCGUAUAUCAAAUUGUCCUUCUGUUUGUCUAACCAUCAUAUAAUGCCUAUAGCCAGAACCGUGUAUUGUAAUAGAAGACUGCCUGUACAGUUCUUUAAAUUCUCUAUUCGUAGCAUCCUUUUCUGAGAGCUCUAUUUCACUCAAUAGUCGAAUAUGGUGAAUUUUUUUUUAUUGUUUUCUGAAUGCUUUGUACACAUGUGCAAGUGUGUGUACAAGGCACUGAACUGGAGAGAUAGGGCAAAAUGACUAUAGGCGCGGGUACGCCUACACUGCCCAGGUGAGGAAAAGUGCAGGGCUGAGGACACUCAUUUCUGUGACAGUGCGCACGUCCUGCGCUUUUACGCACGGUCUCUUUGCAGUAAUGCAUAAACGUUGUUAUGGUGUUAUGACACUAGAUUACUCUAUAUUUUAUAAUCAAUUAAAAAUAAGAAAUUAAACUUGUUUACAUUUUGUUUAUGGCUAUAGCUUGUGGUAAAGCGAAUUAGAAUUCCAUUCUGAUUCGAAACAAUGUGCAAUGACGUGUUCCAUCUCUAUGCGACC